UACGUAGGGUGCGAGCGUUAAUCGGAAUUACUGGGCGUAAAGCGUGCGUAGGCGGUUCGUUAAGUUCGUUGUGAAAGCCCCGGGCUCAACCUGGGAACUGCAAUGGAGACUGUUGGUCUAGAGUGAGGAAGAGGAAAGUGGAAUUCCGCGUGUAGUGGUGAAAUGCGUAGAGAUGCGGAGGAACACCAGUGGCGAAAGCGGCUUUCUGGUCCUUAACUGACGCUGAGGCGCGAAAGCUAGGGGAGCAAACAGG
rnacentral:rRNA from 1 species